rnacentral:rRNA from 1 species
UACGUAGGGGGCAAGCGUUGUCCGGAAUUAUUGGGCGUAAAGCGCGUGUAGGCGGCCAGAAAAGUCCGCUGUGAAAACUCGAGGCUCAACUUCUAGCUGUCGGUGGAAACUUUCUGGCUAGAGUCCGGAAGAGGAGAAUGGAAUUCCUGGUGUAGCGGUGAAAUGCGCAGAUAUCAGGAAGAACACCCGUGGCGAAGGCGGUUCUCUGGGACGGUACUGACGCUGAGACGCGAAAGCGUGGGGAGCGAACAGG